GACGAACGCUGGCGGCGUGCUUAACACAUGCAAGUCGAACGGAAAGGCCCUGCUUUUGUGGGGUGCUCGAGUGGCGAACGGGUGAGUAACACGUGAGUAACCUGCCCUUGUCUUUGUGAUAACUUCAGGAAACUGGGGCUAAUACCGGAUAGGAGCUCCUGCUGCAUGGUGGGGGUUGGUAAGUUUCGGCGGUUGGGGAUGGACUCGCGGCUUAUCAGCUUGUUGGUGGGGUAGUGGCUUACCAAGGUUUUGACGGGUAGCCGGCCUGAGAGGGUAACCGGCCACAUGGGGACUGAGAUACGGCCCAGACUCCUACGGGAGGCAACAGUGGGGAAUAUUGCACAAUGGGCGGAAGCCUGAUGCAGCAACGCCGCGUGCGGGAUGACGGCCUUCGGGUUGUAAACCGCUUUCGCCUGUGACGAAGCGUGAGUGACGGUAAUGGGUAAAGAAGCACCGGCUAACUACGUG
rnacentral:rRNA from 1 species